rnacentral:rRNA from 1 species
CGCGGCCUAKCAKCUUGUUGGNGGGGUAACGGCCCACCAAGGCGAUGACGGGUAGCUGGCGUGAGAGCGCGACCAGCCACACCGGGACUGAGACACGGCCCGGACUCCUACGGGAGGCAGCAGUAGGGAAUAUUGGACAAUGGACGAAAGUCUGAUCCAGCGACGCCGCGUGGAGGAUGAAGGCCUUCGGGUCGUAAACUCCUGUUGUGAGGAAAGAAGCCGAAAGGUGACGGUACCUCACGAGGAAGCCCCGGCUAACUACGUGCCAGCAGCCGCGGUAAGACGUAGGGGGCAAGCGUUGUCCGGAUUCACUGGGCGUAAAGGGCGCGUAGGCGGUUACGUAAGUCUGGCGUGAAAUCUCACAGCUUAACUGUGGAACUGCGUCGGAUACUGCGUUGACUAGAGGUCGGUAGAGGUCCGUGGAACUAGCGGUGUAGCGGUGAAAUGCGCAGAUAUCGCUAGGAACGCCGGUGGCGAAGGCGAUGGACUGGGCCGUACCUGACGCUGAGGCGCGAAAGCUAGGGGAGCGAACCGGAUUAGAUACCCGGGUAGUCCUAGCCGUAAACGGUGGGUGCUAGGUGUGGGGGUCUCACGACUUCCGUGCCGCAGCUAACGCAUUAAGCACCCCGCCUGGGGAGUACGG